rnacentral:rRNA from 1 species
GAUGAACGCUGGCGGCGUGCCUAAUACAUGCAAGUCGAGCGAACAGACGAGGAGCUUGCUCCUCUGACGUUAGCGGCGGACGGGUGAGUAACACGUGGAUAACCUACCUAUAAGACUGGGAUAACUUCGGGAAACCGGAGCUAAUACCGGAUAAUAUAUUGAACCGCAUGGUUCAAUAGUGAAAGACGGUUUUGCUGUCACUUAUAGAUGGAUCCGCGCCGCAUUAGCUAGUUGGUAAGGUAACGGCUUACCAAGGCAACGAUGCGUAGCCGACCUGAGAGGGUGAUCGGCCACAUGGGAACUGAGACACGGUCCAGACUACUACGGGAGGCAGCAGUAGGGAACCUUACGCAAUGGGCGAAAGCCUGACGGAGCAACGCCGCGUGAGUGAUGAAGGUCUUCGGAUCGUAAAACUCUGUUAUUAGGGAAGAACAGAUGUGUAAGUAACUAUGCACGUCUUGACGGUAACUAAUCAGAAAGCCACGGCUAACUACGUG